rnacentral:rRNA from 1 species
UACGUAGGGUGCAAGCGUUAAUCGGAAUUACUGGGCGUAAAGCGUGCGCAGGCGGUUUUGUAAGUCUGAUGUGAAAUCCCCGGGCUCAACCUGGGAAUUGAAUUGGAGACUGCAAGGCUAGAAUCUGGCAGAGGGGGGUAGAAUUCCACGUGUAGCAGUGAAAUGCGUAGAGAUGUGGAGGAACACCGAUGGCGAAGGCAGCCCCCUGGGUCAAGAUUGACGCUCAUGCACGAAAGCGUGGGGAGCAAACAGG